rnacentral:lncRNA from 1 species
CCCCUCCCCUUUCCCAGGUGAUUGCGUUUGGGUGCUGGGUGGGGACAAAAGGUAUAUGAGCCCCAGGCAUGCCAUCAGAGAGCUCCUUCUGCCUGGGCUGCUCUCUGGGGUAAGUGCUUUGCUUUUCCUUCAGUCAGUUGCAGGGUUCUCUAGGCAGGCUGGAGCCUAUGGAUUUCUGGAUUUUAAGUGCUUGGAAUUCACUUAGUAGAGGGAUGUUUAGUAGGGGCUGCUGGCUCACUGUUUUUUUGGGAUGGUGGGAUACUCUUCUGUUUUUGAGCUAUAUUUUAAUAUCUAGAUGUAUAAACCCACUUGUGUAACUCUCCAGAGGACUAAAACCAGCUUGACUGCAUGCUACAUGUGGCUUGGCAGUGUAGAUGCAGCAUUACUAAGAGACUGAGCAGGGUUGUAUCAGAGUCACCUCUUUCAUCUGCCGUGUUUGCUGAGCGUGGUUGGCAGGAGGAGGUGGGGAGCUCCUCAGGACUGGUGCUUUGUGCAGUCGUGGACAGGGAAGGGAAAUCCUCAUGUCACGAAGCACUGAGGGAAGGCUGCAAUGCAGUGUGCAGUGCAGGAUGUCUCAACCAGCUGCCUCUGCAGUGACUCUGGUGCGUGAUGAGCAGAGAGGCGCUAUAAGUGGGUGAAGAGAACAGAUGGAAGCAUCUGCCAGGUGGGGCAGGCAAUCGGCUGAGGUACAGGAGGGGAUGAGAGUAUGUGAUUUUUUUCCCGGGGGUGGAAUGGAAUUAAUUUUGUUGGUGUAUAAUCUGUUCUGCUCCUAG